rnacentral:tRNA from 1 species
GGAGUUGUGGCUAACAGGUAGAGCACUUGCCUAGCACGUAUGAGGCACUGAGUUCAAUCCUCGGCACCA